UACGGAGGGUGCAAGCGUUGUUCGGAAUCACUGGGCGUAAAGGGCGUGUAGGCGGCCCGCUAAGUCUGAUGUGAAAUCCCCUCGCUCAACGAGGGAACUGCGUCGGAAACUGGCGGACUCGAGUACCGGAGAGGAAGGUGGAAUUCCUGGUGUAGUAGUGAAAUGCGUAGAUAUCAGGAGGAACACCCGUGGCGAAGGCGGCUUUCUAGGAUAUACCUGACACUGAGAAGCGACAGCUAGGGGAGCAAACAGG
rnacentral:rRNA from 1 species